AAAAUUAUAAGAGUAUACCAAACAUUACAUGCAUGUAUAUAAAUAAAAUUAUAUAGUUACAAAUAAUAUAACAUUAUGUUUACAUCAACUGUAACACUUACACACACGAACAAAAACGAUCGACGCACCAACGAACUUUAGGAGCAGUACACAUAUUUUCUGGACAAUCGGAGGGUAAUUUGCAAGGAGUGUCAGUACUUAUAAUGUCUGAUAAGAACAAAAGAAUUGUUACUAAAAGGUGACAAAAUAUUUUAUAUAAGAUAAAUUAGAUAUUUGCAAAUGGUGUGUAAAAUGACUUACUACUACUACUACUAUUGGUUGCAACAAUAAAUAGAGAAAGAAAUAUGAUCAAAACAUAAAAAUAAUAUGGAAUUUGAGCCAUAGUUUUGUUCCUUUGUAUGUAAUAAUAAAUAGAAAAUUAUUUUAUCACUAUAUAAGAAAAAAAUUUAUGCUUUGCUAACUUUAAUUAAAUAGUUUUUAACGCUUAGGAGUCGCAAGAAACCAUUCAUAAAAUAAAAAUUAUCGUUACAUGUCUCUAAAGUACUUCACUUUCAAUAUAUAUUUUUUAUUUCGUUUUUAACCUUUCAUGCAACAUAAGUAUAUCAAAUGAGAAAUAAUAGUUAUGAAAAUUGUCCUUAUAUUAUAAGUUAUUAUUAGAUGCAUUUGUUUUUUUCAAACACACCUGUCAUUAAUAUUAUUAGAAAAUGAAAAAUUAAGUUAAACACAUUAAUAUACAAAUAAUACUUUAGGAAUAUCAUUUAGGAAGAUCAUUAGGCAGAAUGGGCUUUAUAAUUUCAUUACUUAUUUUUUUUCAAGUAACUUAGUUACUAGAAAUUCCACCCUUAAGGGUGGAUAAGUGGGAUGAUCAGAGUUCGAAUCCCGGCCCCCUGUAUAUAUAAUACAAUGUCCUUGCCAACUGAACUAAAUUAACGGGACAAUUUCACUACUUAUUUUUCUUAAUGCAAUUGUUAUACUAAGUUUUAGGUUCAAGUUUAACAUUCAUUAUUUAAAUAAGUUUCACUUUUGUUUAAUUAAAAUUUUCUUCAUUUAGACCUCUUUGUAUUACUUUUAAGUCUAUACCUUUUUGUAUUACUAUCUUAUUGAAUAAUGAAAAGAUAUGAGUUUGCAUUUGUAAAACAAAAUAAAAAAUUCUUCAUUUAAACCAACAAUAAAUUGAUCCGAAUUAUAAGAAUCUAAGGCCCUUUUAGCAAGUAGUCGGGGAUUCAAUCUCCAACUCUUGUGUAUGAACCACCAAGUAGUUAGGGAUUCUUGAAAAAAAGUUUGCAUCCACAUAUUAAAAUCAAAUUUUUUUGUAUUCUUCAAUUUUUCGUAUAUUAAAAUCAGUUUGUGAAAUUUUCCGUAUUAAUAUAUCUCCACAAAUUUGAGAAAUUUUCCGUAUUAAAAUCAAUUUUUUUUCCUCUAUACCUUGAUAAUUUGAAUAUAUAUAUAGUUACCCAAUUUUCUGGUAAUUUGAAUAUAUAGUUACCCAAUUUUCUGGUCUUUGUGAUGCUCUAUCAAUGUUGUUAUUUUUUUCAUCAUGUAAUUUCUUUGCAAUGUCUUGCAUCAAGUAAUUUUUGCUAUUAACCUUACAAUUUAGCAUAUACUAUUAAAAUGUGCUUAUAGAAAUACAUUUGUUCUUCCUAUAUAUUUAUGCAUUUGAAUAGUGUAAGAAAAGAUGUAAAGACAACAAUGUUUGCCAUAGUUACAUGGAUGACAAUGUUUACUGCGUUAUUUAGCCAUGGUUACGACCGUAGCCAACACAAUUUUCUAAAUGAUAAAUAACCGUGGUCGUAAAAUUGUUACAACGCUUAAUAUUGCCGUGACAAAAAUCAAAUUUAACCGUGGCUAAAUUUUACAAUGCCAGGAUAAGCCACCCUAAAAAUUUACGUGGUAAACUUUUUUUUUUUUUUGGUCAAAACGUGGUAAACUUUAUUAGCCACAGUCAACAAUACUUUUAGGUGAGGUUUUGACCGUCGCUAAAGAGUUUUUUUUUAUUAGCCACAGUCAAUAAUACUUUUAGGUGAGGUUUUGACCGCCGCGGGAUUACAAACAGAGCGCCGGCAGUUGAAGGGUGCCGCAGUAACCGCCGGGUAACACAAAGUGACGCCGGUUCAGUACCAACUGCCACUAUUGUCUUACGCUAUAAGCUUUAUUUCUUGUAGUGAUCACCUCUGCAGGUGCAUGUCAGCGCCUGUUCAUAGUUGGCCAAUUCAUCCCAUAAAACUUUCAACUUUCCAUAGUAAGCCACCAUGGUCAUUCCUCCCUGCUUGCAUUCUGCUAGGUCAGAUUAAGUUGUUGGAUUCUAGGUCCAUUCACAACUGAAAACCUGUNNNNNNNNNNNNNNNNNNNNNNNNNNNNNNNNNNNNNNNNNNNNNNNNNNNNNNNNNNNNNNNNNNNNNNNNNNNNNNNNNNNNNNNNNNNNNNNNNNNNNNNNNNNNNNNNNNNNNNNNNNNNNNNNNNNNNNNNNNNNNNNNNNNNNNNNNNNNNUAGGUCAGAUUAAGUUGUUGGAUUCUAGGUCCAUUCACAACUGAAAACCUGUCCUUAAUGUCUUCCCACAAUUCCUUUGCAUUUUCAAAAUAUGUUAUCGUUGAGCGUAGGCUAGGCUCAAUCGUAUUUAAAAUCCAUGAUACCAACAUAGAUUGAACAGUCCACCAAUCUUCUAUUUCUUGUGAUCCGUCCUCUGGUUGCAUAAUCGCUCCAUCAACGAAGCCCCAUUUUCUUCUCGCCCUUAAGGACGUUCGCAUAGCUCGAGUCCAUUCAUCAUAAUUUUCAUCACCUCGGAGCUGCACCUGUGUGAUCACACUUCCAAGGUUGUCGUUGGAGUGCAGAUCAUAAAGAAGAUGAGUUUCUCUUGCCUAGAUCAGAUUUCAGUCGCUCUGAUUUGGCACUUGCAUCAAGUUUUGGUUGCUCUAAUUUUUCUUCCAUCACAUCCGCCAGAUAUAUUUUUCCUAGGGUUGUAUGGCUCUAUAUUAAUCAAAACUUGCUUAAUAUAGUCUAAUAUUGAACUCUAGUAAGGCAUUUUUCUGAUCAUCAUCGCUCUUCUAUUUUCUCAAGAAUUAUCUUCCCGUCAACAUGCUCUUCCGUUUAACUUUUUAAAAUUGUUUGGCUGAAAUUUGGUCUAAAACAUGCUUAAAAGAGUUGUAUGUUGUGGGAUGCCCCGUGUGAUCUUGUCUUCAGCGGAAACUUAAGCAUCUCAAGCAUGCUUUUAAAAGAGUGGAAUAAUAAUCCAAAAAAAAAAAAAGAGUGGAAUAAAAGAACCUUUGGUAAUAUAUGCAUAUCAAUGUUUCUAUGGCCAUUGAUGAGGUAAAUAGAAUUCAUCUACUUAUUGAUUUAGUUGGAAUUUUAGAUGAGUCGUUGUUAUAGGAUUAUCAGGCCCAACUUAUUCUUGCCAAAGCACUGUUCCAACAUGAUCAGUUCUACGGAGAAAAGGCGAGAGAUCAAAACAUUUUAUUUAUGAAUAGUAAGAGUUGAGUAUCUUUUGAACUCCUUAUAAUUUAAUUUUGCUUAUAAAAAAAAAUUAAAUUUAUUAAUUAAUAUGCUUAAAGAGUGUCCGGUGAAGCGGCUGAAAAAAUGCGUGGGCGGUAGUUCUGAGUAGAAAAAAGUUGAUUGGUUGAAAUGAUUUGUGUUUAGACGAAAAAAUGUGUUUGAAUGAAAAGACAGAUUCACACUUGGGCGAUGGUACCGUUUGAUAAAAAAAUAAUUAAAGCGUGCAUGGACAAGUUUGAUGAGUUUAAAUUGAUUUUAAUUCGUGGAAUACGAAUAACCGGUAGGCAAAGCGUACGCUAAGCGUCGAUCAUUCGAGAGAUGAAUGAAUGUACAUUCGUUGGUCUCCUUUCUAAACCAAUUUUAUUUAUUAAAAUUUAUUUGUGGAAGACAAAUAAUCGGUAGACAAAGCGCGCCAAGCGAUCCAUUAUUCGAGAGAUGAACGGAUGUACAUUAGCCUGUCUCCUUUUUAAUCCAAAUUUGUUUAUUGAUAAUUAUUUGUGGUAAACAAAUAAUCGGUAGACAAAGCGUACGCUAAGACGCUAAGUCUCGACCAUUCGAAAGAUGAAAGAAUGCGCCGGUCUCUUUUUUAGUCCACAUUUAUUAUAAAAAAAUUAUUUGAUGUUAAUUGACUUAAAAGAAAUGAAAUUAAAAUUAAUAUUUUUAUGCUUACUAUUGCUAUUAUAUUUUUUAUUUUAAGUUUGAAAUUGCUAUAGUUACUAGUUAGUUUAAUUUGCGAUGAUAAUUCAUACGCAGGCGUAAACAGUGGCUGUGGAAUUAUUCUUAGUUGGCUUUUGUUUAUUUUUAUUAGAAAAUGAUAAACAGUGCUCCCGGGGCACUAGUUAAAGAUACAAAUAUAGAAGUUUUAUCUCGUAAAUUGUGCAUUCAAUGUUUUAAUGAUGUGAAAAGUUAUUCUCUCUCAUCAUUAACUUUAUCAUUUGUUUCCUUUUUUAUUAUGCUUAACUAGUGCCCCAGGGGCACUGUUUAGCAUGACCCAUUUUUAUUUUAUAAUUAUAAAUCAUAUAUCAUAUUGUCUCAUUGUGAUACUACAAAACAAGUGCAAAAAGCAUAAACAGUGGUUGUGGAAUUGUUGUUCUUUUUUUUUUUCUUUCCCUCGUCCCCUUCUUCUUUGAUUGAAUAUAAUGGUAGUUCUGUGAUGGUAGUCUUUGGUUGAUGAAGGUUUGAAGGUGGUAAUGUGGUGAGUGGUGUGUUUUUUUUUCGUUUCUAUGCUUCUUGCACUUGAAACUCCUUGAACAUUCAUUUUACUAUUAAAUGAGCUAAUUCACUUAUUUGAAAGAAAUUGUGACAAAAACCAAAAUGAUAAUAAAAAAGACGCGUAAAAUUUAGGGUAAACACCCGGGAGCACUUGUUAUCAUUUUCAAUUAAAAAAUAGCUUAACAUUAAUCCCUUAUAACAUUAGGAUUUUUUAUAGCAAAAAGAAAUAUUAUAAAAAAUGAUAUUUGAUUGUUUAUAAGGAUCGAACUGUGUCCCUUUUAAGUUGUUUUUAUUUUCUUUUUGACAAAAUCUCUUUUAAGUUGUUAGUGGUGCAUAAAACAAAAUAUCAUAAAAUUAAUAUUUGGUUGUUAUUGAGAAUUGAAUCGUGUCCAAUUAGAUUGUUGGUAGUACAAACUAAAAUAUCAUAAAAAUUGGUAUUUGGUUGUUGAUGGGAUUGAAACCACGUUCAUUUCACUAAAGCUUUGCCUAGUGCUAUAUUAUUGUUAGGUAAGGAGAAGACACGUAAGUGCCAUGUUGAAAUAAGUUACAGAGAGAAUGUCACUUGUGAAUUUGCUCCUCGAGAAAAAACUUGAAAAUAGAUAUUCAACAAAAGAUCAUUAAUUGGUUCUUUUUCAAAUGGAGAACGGCAACACAACCACAUCUUUAUUAUUAUUAUUGUAACCUAAAUUAACUAUUGAAAGGUAAACAAAACAUAAAGAAAAGUGUGAGAAAAAUUCUAAGAGUAUCAAAUACUACACGGAUAAAUAAAAUUAUACUGUUACGUACAAACAAUAUAAAAUUAUUUCUGAACUUAUCUGUAAAACUUAUGCGCAUUCACAAUAACCUUGAACGCACCAUGGAAUUACACGUAUGUGAGGAUGCUUACACAUAUUUUCAGGACAAUCCAAGGGUAUUUUGCAGGGAAAAUUAGUACGUAUAAUGUCUGAUAUAAACAAAACAAUUGUUACUAAAAGGACAUAGAGUAUUUUAUAUCAAAUAAAUUAGAUAUUUGCAAAUGGUAUGUUAAAUGACUUACAACUGCUACUCCUAGUUGCAAUAAGAAAUAGUGAAAGAAAUAUGAUCAAAAUAUAAAAGUAAUAUGGAAUUUGAGCCAUAUUUUUCUCCUUUGUAUAUGUGUAAUAAACAGAAAAUUAUUUGAUCACUAUAUAAGAAAAAAAUUCAUACUUUGCUAAUUUCAACCAAAUAGUUUUUAGCAUUUAGGAGUUGCAAGAAACUAUUUAUAAAAUAGAAAUUAUUGUUACGUGGCUCUAAAGUAUAUCAAAAUAUCAUCUUUGUCUCUUUCAUUAAUUCAAUGCAUUACUUGACGUUCAAUAUUUUUUAUUUUUUAUUUAUUUCUCUUUUCACAUUUCAUCAUAGAGAACUUAAACAUAUCGAAUGAGAAAUAAUUGUGAUGAUAAUUAUAAGUUACCUUUUAAAAAAUUUAAUUUCAUAAUAUUGAGUUUUAUGUAUAAACUUAUUAUUAUAUGUUAAGUAAAUUACACUCUCCUUUCAUAAGAGAAGCCUGAAUUACAAUCUUCGUCUUCUCUUAUUUGAAAAUAUUAAUUUUAAUCUAUUAUAGCAUAAAUAUUUUAUGAUAACAAUUAAGUUUAUACCCACCAGUUUAUUUUAUUUAUGUAAAACAAACUUUAAUCAUCAUUAAUUAUAUCCUUUGUUUUAUAGUGUAAUUUAAUCAUCUCUCAAAGAAUGAGAGCGUAAUUUACUCUUAAAUAUUUUCUUAAUCUAUCUCUUCAAAUAGGUAAGAGUUUAUUUACUAGUUUCUAUUAAAUCAAAUCUCAUUAAAAUAUCACAUUUUGGAAACCAAUGAGCUAUUGGGCAAACAUACUUGAACCCAAACUUACAAAAAUUUGACUAUAGAGGCGGGAUAGAUAGUUUAACUGGUUAAGCUAGUUGAUAUAAGGGUUAAAGGAGUUGAAGGUCCAGAGUUCAAGUAAAGAGAAAAAAAACUGAAAUAACAUUGUAAUAUACUAACAAUUAACAAUCUGUCUUUUAAAAAAAAAAUUGACUAUAAUAUACUUCUUCUUUCCGCGCCCUCCACCAUUUCUCCCGUGCCACCUGAAAUUACAGAAAUACCCUCUCACAUUUUGGAUGCCCAUCUGAUAAAUUUGUACUGGAUGAGUACAGGGGCCACAUUGCAAGAUGUAUAUACGCAGAUUAUGUAAGUUACUUAAUUGUCUUACAAAUUGAUUGUCUAAUUAUGAGGUAAUUGUCUCAUUUGUAUGAUUAUGAUUUAAUUGUAUGAUUAGUAUGUUAUGUUUAUUUGGCACAUACCGGUACCCUUGAAGGUCUCUAUUUUUGCGUGACGUUUACUGUGGGAUCGACUGCCCACUAAAGCCAACCUGGUUACCCGGGGCAUCUUAUCGUCUACAACUCUCUCUUGUGUCUCUGGAUGUGGAGAGGUCGAGUCGGCCCAUUACUUGUUCCUUUCCUGUAGUACUUUUGGUUCUCUUUGGGCUUUGGUUCGCUCGUGGAUUGACAUUCCUAUGGUGGACUACAUUACUUUGUGUGAUCAUUUUGUCCAGUUCACUUCUUCAACGGGAGUUUCUCGAGCACGACGGUCUUUCCUGCAGCUUAUUUGGCUUGCUUUUGUUUGGGUUAUGUGGAUGAAGAGAAAUCAUAGAUUAUUCAGCGGCUCAACAAGUACUCUUCAUCAAUUGGUGGAUAAGAUCAAACUGUUUUCCUAUAGGUGGUUGAAGACUACGAGUUGUGUGACUUUAGUCUCAAACUACCAUAGCUAGUGGUCUAAUCCUUUACUUUGUUUGGGCCUUGUAUGAUUUAUUUAUGGUUUUUUUCCUUGACUCUUUGUAAAUAUUUGUAGUCGAUCUCGGUAAACCUUGUGCUAUGGGAGACUGUUUUAUUAAUAUAUAUCUCAUUUUGUCUUGUUCAAAAAAAAGUAUGUUAUGUUUAUUGGUUUUGUAGAAUCGUGGAUUGAUAAAAAUUGUCAGCAACGGGAAUAAGUUGAUAAAUUUGAGUAAAAUGGUUCCAACCAAUGAGGAGUGGUGGGAUCAAACCAUUAGGAAUACAUGGAUAUGUCUUUUGCAUCUCACCGUUGAGAGGCAAAUCACUCAUCAUGAAACAAAUCUCCAAAUACAUCAAAGUAAGGCAACNNNNNNNNNNNNNNNNNNNNNNNNNNNNNNNNNNNNNNNNNNNNNNNNNNNNNNNNNNNNNNNNNNNNNNNNNNNNNNNNNNNNNNNNNNNNNNNNNNNNNNNNNNNNNNNNNNNNNNNNNNNNNNNNNNNUUGAUAAAUUUGAGUAAAAUGGUUCCAACCAAUGAGGAGUGGUGGGAUCAAACCAUUAGGAAUACACGGAUAUGCAGCUUAACCAACACAGGUUUCUCAUUUUUUGACCGGUCACUGUUGACAAAUUUUUUGAAUAGGUGGCAUGGGGAGACCAUCCACUUCCAUUUUCCUUGUGGGGAGAUAACAGUCACUCUAGAUCACGUGUACUGUGUCUUUUGCAUCUCACCGUUGAGAGGCAAAUCACUCAUCAUGAAACAAAUCUCCAAAUACAUCAAAGUAAGGCAACUAAGGCCACAUGGAAACAAAUCCGAAUAGUAAAGCAUCAAAGUCAUGAAACAUAAAUUUCUUAUUAUAGAUAUUCAAUAUCUCAAAGUCAUAAUACAAAAGAAAAUUCUAUAAAAAUAUAUUGCCUUUUAGGACUUACUCCAACAUCUUCAAAGUGCAUAUUGGUCCUUGGAGUUUCUUUGGUGAUUUUAAUGCCAUAUUGGGUGCUCAUGAGAAAUGUGGAAAGCGUCCUUCGUGAUGAUUUUUUUGACUUGGUCUAACUUCUGGUGUGCGAUUAACAAGGAACAACGAAAGGAUGGGUGGAGAUUACGUUGAUCUUCGUUUUGAUAAAACUAUUUAUAAUAUGGAUUGAAUUAACCUGUUGCAAAAGACCUCUUCUAUAUUUUCUCAAGAAUUAUCUUCCCGUCAACAUGCUCUUCUGAUCCGUUUGGUAAUGGGCUUCGGCUAAAAUGAAAGAGUUGGACGAUGGUGCACCAGAUGUCAAUAACUUUAUAACGAAUACAAAUUUUACAAAAUUAAUCGUUGGAUUGAAAGUUUAGAUCAUGUGAAUUAUCAAUACAAAUUUUUAAAAAAAUUGAAAGUCAUUUGAUAUGUUAUUGAGACUCAUCAAAAUUAACGGUUUAUAUAAAUUUUUAUUUAAUACCAAUAAUCUUAAGUAUGAUAUAAACUUUCAAUCUAAUAAUCAAUUUUAUAAAACGGUUUACUGACUUUAUAAAAAACAGAAAAACGAAUUUUCAAAAUUGGCAACGAAUUAAAUUANNNNNNNNNNNNNNNNNNNNNNNNNNNNNNNNNNNNNNNNNNNNNNNNNNNNNNNNNNNNNNNNNNNNNNNNNNNNNNNNNNNNNNNNNNNNNNNNNNNNNNNNNNNNNNNNNNNNNNNNNNNNNNNNNNNNNNNNNNNNNNNNNNNNNNNNNNNNNNNNNNNNNNNNNNNNNNNNNNNNNNNUACCAAGUUUCCUCUUAUUCCUUCAUCAUGUUCCAACAAAUUCGUAUUCGUUACUUGUACUCCAUGCACCACUUGACACACUUGUAAGUAGCCUUGCUAACGUGCAUACCAAAGCACUGAUCCAACAUGAUCAGUUGUGGAGUGAAAAGGCGAGAUCAUAACAUUUUAUUUAUGGAGAUCGAAAUACUUCCUAGCUAGCUAUUUCCAUGGGGACUAUGAUUUAAUUUUAUCAGAAUGAAUGAACUAAGAAUUUAUGAAACAAAUUAAAGGUUCCACAAAGCAAAUUAAUGUUAUUAUAGACGGUGAGAUUAUUCACGAGGUCCCCCUCUUCAUUUAAUUAUGUUUUUAAUUUAAGAAACAAUAAAAUAUUUUAAAUAAUAAAUAUAAAAAAAUUAAAUUGACAUGAUAAAAUUGUGAAUUUUAUAAAAUAGGGGAUGAAAACAACAUUUAAGCCAAAAAUAUAGGCUUAAUUAUAUAUUUGGUCCCUUAUGUUUAUUUUAAGUUUCAAUUUAGUCUCUUAAGUUUAAAAAGUUUCAAGUUUGUCAUUUUAGUCAAAUUUUUAUACGUGGACAAUUUAGGAUGGUGUCACCUGAAAGUUUUAGACGAAAUUAAUUUAAAAUUUAACAGAAAGUUAGAUGAAGUUAACUCAAAAAAUUUAAUAAAAAGAACAAUUUAUGUUGAAAUCAUAAUGACCAAAUUGAAACUUUUAAAACAUAGAUGACUAACUUGAAACCUAAAAUAAAGAUAAGAGACCAAAUAUGCAAUUAAGCAAAAAAUAAAUUAUAUUUUAUGUUUUUUACAAAUUAUAGAUCAUAAUUAAAAAAUGUUUUGCUAACGUGUGCCCCGUAACGGGACACUCUUAAAACAUUCCAUUUAAUGAGAUAACAUAUUGAAAAAGUGAAUCAUUUCAAUUUCUAAUAUUAACUUCACACAUUUUUAUAAAAAGUUUACAAAAACAUACUAUUUAGAAUGCUUAAGAGUGUCCGGGGGCACUCGUUAGCAUUUUCCAUUCAAAAAUAGCUUAACAUUAGGAUUUUUUAUAGCAAAAAAAAUUAUAAAAAUUAAUAUUUGGUUGUUGACUCUUCCAUUCAAAAAUUACUAUAGUAUUUAGGAUGCUUAAGAGUGUCUAUAUGACCCUUUAGGUUGUUAGUAGUGCAUAUAACAAAACAUCAUAAAAUUAAUAUUUAAUUGUUACUGAGAAUUGAACCGUAUUUGGUUGUUGAUGAGAUUGGAACCACGUCCAUUUCACUAAAGUUUCGCCUAAUACUAUAUUAGUGUUAAUGUAAGGAGAAGACACGUAAGCGUCAUGUUGAAAUAAGUUUCCGGAAGAUUGUGAAUUUGUUCCUUGAUAAAAAACUUGAAAAUAACUUAUGUAUUAUUUGCUUUGAGCAAGACAAAGAUAGAUAGAUAGAUAGAUAGAUAGAUAGUACACUUUUAAUUUAUUCAACAAAAGUUGAUUAAAAAAAAAAUUAUUCAACAAAAGGUCCUUCGUCCUUUUUCAAAUGAGGAGUGGCAACACAACCACAUCAUUAUUAUUGUAACCUAAAUUAACUAUUGCAAGAUAAACAAGACAUAAAGAAAAGUGUGAGAAAAAUUCUAAAAGUAUCAAAUAUUACACGUAUAAAUAAAAUUAUACUGUUAAAAACAAUAUAAAAUUAUUUUUAAACUUAUCUGUAACACUUUACCCGCACUCACAAUAACCUUGAAUGCACCAUUGAAUUCUAGGAUACAUACACAUAUCUUCUGGACAAUCCAACGGUAUUUUGCAGGGAGAAUUAGAACUUAUAACGUCUGAUAAAAACAAAAGAAUUGUUACUAAAAUGACAUGGAGUAUUUUAUAUCAAAUUUAUUAGAAUUUGCAAAUGGUAUGUAAAAUGACUUACAACUACUACUAUCGGUUGCAAUAAGAAAUAGAGAAAGAAAUAUGAUCAAAAUAUAAAAGUAAUAUGGAAUUUGAGCCAUAUUUUUCUCCUAUGUAUGUAAUAAAUAGAAAAUUAGUUGAUCAUUAUAUAAGAAAAAAUUUCA
rnacentral:lncRNA from 1 species